UACGUAGGGGGCAAGCGUUGUCCGGAAUUAUUGGGCGUAAAGCGCGCGCAGGCGGCUAUUUAAGUCUGGUGUUUAAACCUUGGGCUCAACCUGAGGUCGCACUGGAAACUGGGUGGCUUGAGUACAGAAGAGGAAAGUGGAAUUCCACGUGUAGCGGUGAAAUGCGUAGAUAUGUGGAGGAACACCAGCGGCGAAGGCGACUUUCUGGGCUGUAACUGACGCUGAGGCGCGAAAGCGUGGGGAGCAAACAGG
rnacentral:rRNA from 1 species